AACGAACGCUGGCGGCAUGCCUAACACAUGCAAGUCGAACGAACCCUUCGGGUCUUGUCGCGCACGGGUUCGUAACCCGUGGGAACCUGCACAUGUGUUUGGCCUAACUCCCCGACAGGGGUGCUAACACCGGAUCAUGUCUUCUGCCCAAAAAUUUAUCGCACUUGAUUGUGCCCGAGUUGAAUUAGAUAGUUCGUAGGGUAAAAGACUACUCAGGCGACAAUUCAUAGCUUGUCAGAGAGGAAGCUCACCCACACUGGGAGUGGGACCCGGCCCGGACUCCUACGGGAGGCAGCAGUGGGGAAUAGUGGACAAUGGGCGAAAUGCUGAUGCACCAAUGCCGCGAGAGUGAUGAAGGCCUUAGGGUUGUAAAGCUCUUUUAACCGGGAUCAUAAUGACAGUACCGGGAGAAAAAGCCCCGGCUAACUCCGUG
rnacentral:rRNA from 1 species